UUGGACCAACAAUGGACCAAAAGUAAGAAAAUAUUCUCAAAGGGCUUUCAAGGCAACUUGGACCAACAAUGGACUAACAUUAAAACAAAACAAAACAAUAUUAUCAAAGAGCUUUCAAAGAAACUUGGACCAACAAUGGAUUAACGGUUAAAAAAAACAAUACCCAUGAAGAGCUUUCAAGGAAACUUGGACCAACAACGGACUAACAGUGGAAAAAAAAACUAUAUUUUCAAAGAGCUUUCAAGGAAACUUGGACCAACAGUGGAACAACAAAAUUCUAAUUGCUCUCAGGAAAUAUCACAUCAUCAGCGUUUUUUUAAGGAAACUAUGAUGCAGCACAGAAAAUGAUCACAAGGUGCUCUGGAAGGAACAACAGCCCAACACUGAGGAAGAAUUAUGACAACCAGUGAGGCAUCAGACCUUGUUUCUAUCGCUCCUGCACAGUCACCUAGCAAUAUGAAGAUAACAAAAUGAUAAAGAAGAUUCAACAAGACCCAGGAGCCAUGGCAUAUACUGAUAACUUGUUUAUGUGUUUACUGUACCGGUCAUGUUUGCAGUCCUUUGUGUAUUUGUAUGUCUGCUGUUCUUAAAAAGUUGCCAAAAUGCCCAAUGCUGCAGAAUUGGGCUUUUUGGCAAAAUUUUCAGAGUCGCGCUGCUGCUACAGUGAGAUGGUCUUUGGUUCCUCUGUCUACAUGAGAAGUUGAGCCAGGCAUCCUCGUGCUGGGGACCAUUGCUGAAGUGUUCAUCCUAUAAGAAGACCCCGAUGCCCUCCAUCAUCAAUUGGAUGCUGAGCCAGGAUUCAGAUUGGGUCGUCAUCUAGCCACCGGAUACCUGAAGCCAUUGGAGGCCAGAGCUGCUCUAACGUCGUUCCGACAGCAACAAGUGUGUGUAGGUCCUGCUGGUGUCAGCCCUGACUCCUGAAGGACUGUGCAAACUGCAAGGGGCUUCUGGUCAUCUUCAACCCGAGCCCGAGUCUGGAGAGGAUCCCUACUUUAUGGAAGACUUCCUGCAUGGUUCCUGUCCUGAAGACUUUGCACCUCAGAGAGCUUAACCACUUCAGACUCUCGCCUUUCAUCUGAUGAAGUCCGUGGAGGAGAUCAACCUUAGCACACCUAUCCCCUGGUGAGCUCGAGUCUGGACCCCCCUGCAGCUCGCCUACCAGCCAGACAUCAGGGUGCACAACGCCGUCAUCUACCUGCUGCACAGGUCUCUGGUUCACCUGGAGAACCCCACCAGUGCUGUCAGGGUCAUGUUCUUUGACUUCUCCAGUGGAGUACAGGCAGAUCAUUGCUGGCUUUGUAAGCUGGCCCCCCAGACUGCACCAGUGAACAUCCAUCCAUCCAUCCUUCGGAGCGUGCAGAACUCUUGUUAUGGACAUUUUACGAUAGUGUGAUGUCAUCUGCUGUCCUUUAUGCAGUGGUUGGCUGUGGAGGAGGGAGCACAGAAAAAGACGAAAUAAACUGGUCAGGAGGGGCAGGUCUGUCCUGGACUGUCCCUCGCCCUGGACUCUGAGGAGGAUGUUUGCCAGCUGGCAUCCAUAAUGGACAACCCAUGACACUGUUGGGGCCUCAGCAGCCCCUUCAGCCAAAGACUGUUGAGCCCUCCAUUUAAGUAG